AACGCACGAGACCUGCGGACCUGCGGAAGGAUCAUUAAAAAUUUAAUUAUCCUGCUUUAAACUGUAUGGAUAAUAAAUCCAUACUCACUUCGUGUGCAUCUAUCGAUCGUAUACUUUGACAGAUGGCUUCUUCCUUGAUUUCAUUUCAGAAAGAUGCGGAGAUCCGAAUCUCAGGGUCUGUCAAAGUUUUUUCUCCCGAAUCCUUUUAAAUUCUGAAAACCCUUGAAUUGCAAUAAAUCC
rnacentral:misc_RNA from 1 species